GCAUAGCAACGCUAUGUUGUCUUAACGCCCCAAAACUUGAGCGGUAUCAGUAAAGUUGAUCAAUGAAAUAUUGGGAAAGUCACUACAAAAAAAUCAUGACUGCAGGUGGAGUAACAGACAGUUGAGGAAUGAAGAACCCUACAACCGCUUUUGAGGUGUGGGAGGCAUCAUUACAAGGAAUAUCAAGCACUGGAAACACUUAUUCUUCUGAUGAAACAUCUGCUCAGUUUUUAGUUAAUCAUCUGAACAUUGCAAGAAGACUUCUAAUUGUUUCAAGUAAAUACAAAUUUUCCAGCCAGAUUCCCCAAGCUGUCCGGUCCUGUAUCAGUCUUGUGCUGUAUCAGUACGAGAUUAAUUCACUGGAUGACUUAAUUGGAAUGGUUGCUGCAAAACUUGGUGGAACAAAGGUAGCAAGCAUUGCUUUCAUAGCUCACGGAACAGAGUCUGAAAUAUAUCUUACUGUUAAUAAAAAGAGGAUAUUGUCAGCUGAAACCAUAUUUAACAACAACCCAAUCAGAGAUUUUUUUUGUGCUUUGGUGGAUAAUUUUCUAGACAGAAGUGCAGAUGGAGCACGAUUUGAUUUUCUGGGCUGUCGAUUGGCCCAGGAGGAAAUGGGAAAACUCAUUAUUCAAGAAUUAAAGAAGAUUACAAAGUGUAAAGUAGACUUUUCUAAAGAUCUACCAGGGUCAGAUACAAGAGUGCUUCAAGUGAUAAAUGAUGUUGAGCAAGUUCUUCCAGUUGGUGCCCUGUAUUUCAUACCAGAGAAACUAAAAGAUGUAUUAUAUGGACCCAUUGAAUCACGUAGCCGUUCACAGAGUAUGGCUGAAUAUGAAAAAAUACGAACUGUGGGGAAAGGGGCUUUUGGUACAGCUGUGUUGUAUAGAAAUAAAAAUGAUGACUCACUGGUUAUUUUGAAAGAAAUCAACAUGCAUGAUCUGACUGCAGGAGAGAGGCAACUUUCUAUGAAUGAAGUUAGGGUACUGUCAAUGCUUCAUCACCCAAACAUUAUUAGUUACUAUGAUAGCUUUGAGGAAGAUGGAGUUUUGAUGAUUAAGAUGGAAUAUGCUGAUGGAGGGACUUUGCAACAAUAUCUUUCUAAUCUGAAGACAACACUUGAAGAGAAUGAAAUCCUGGAUCUUUUCAAGCAGAUUGUUUCAGCAAUAUGUCACAUGCAUGAACAUAACAUUCUUCAUAGAGAUCUUAAAACAGCUAAUAUAUUUUUGACAAAAGAUGGACUUGUGAAAGUUGGUGAUUUUGGCAUAUCCAAAAUGUUAACAACAAGACAAGGAGGAGCCAAUACAGUUUUAGGAACACCAUAUUAUAUCAGUCCUGAGAUGUGUGAAGGAAAGCCUUACAAUGAGAAGUCUGAUAUCUGGGCUUUAGGCUGCAUCCUUUAUGAAAUGGCUUGUCUCCAGAAAACAUUUGAAGGUUCCAACUUACCGGCUUUAGUGAAUAAAAUAGUGAAGGGUCAAUUUGCUCCUAUUCGUGGGCACUAUUCAUAUGACUUCAAACAGCUUGUUCGAGAUUUGCUUCAGAAACAUCCAGAAUAUCGACCUACUGCUAGAGAAGUAUUAUACGACAGGUUACCUGAGUUAAUUGAGCAGUUUGAGCCAAAAAGAAAUGAUUCUGAUAAAGAUUCAGAAGCAGUGGAUAAAAGAAAAACUGAUUCACGCAACACACUAAGACAGCCAAGAUCUGUACUUUACAGAGUGCAAGUAAAUGAGCUGGACAUAUCUCUUUUUCCUGUGCCUCUACCACCAAAAAGUAGAAUUAAGGAAGUUGCAGUCAGUUUCACUCACUUCAUAGCUCUAACUUAUGAUCUAAUGGUUUACACUUGGGGUGAAGGAAAGAAAGGACAACUUGGGCAUGGCACUCGAGAACCUUGGUUAGAUAAACCAAAGUGUAUAGAAUUACUAAUAGAAAAGAGCAUUACCAAGGUCUGUGCCGGUGAUGGUUUCAGUGUGUUUUCUAGUGACAAUGGCAUAGUUAUGACCUGUGGAGAUGGUAGUCAAGGGUGCCUCGGUUAUGGGGACUGGAAUAGCUCUAGUAAACCAAAACUCGUGGAAAAACUUUUGAGCGUUGAUGUUUUAAGUGUAAGUUGUGGUCCCCAUCAUGUAGUGGUGGUAGGUGGAGAAGGAGAUGCAUAUGCUUGGGGUUGUGGAAGUCUAGGACGACUCGGAACUGGUAGUGAAGAGGAUUGCUGUUUCCCAACAGUGGUUCAGCUCCCUGAAAAUAUAACUGUCACUAAAGCAUUCUGUGGUUCAGAUGGAACAAUGUUCGUGACUGAUACAGGGAUGGUGCUGGCCUGUGGUUCAAAUGAGUAUAACAAAUUAGGACUGAGUGAGAGAAGAAUGUUUAUUAUGCAAGUUAAGCAACUUAUGGUCAAAAGUGAGGUUGAUAAAUGGCUCAUUCCUACCCGUGUGAACUGUUUGCGGACCAAGGUAGUAUCUAUCUCAAUGGGUCUUACUCACACAGUUGUGCUGCUUGAACCAGGAAAGAUAAUAACCUUUGGGAAUAACCAGGAUGGUCAGCUGGGAUGUGGACACACUCGCAACAGUUUAACUCCAAUGUUAGUCAAACGCAUGGAGGACAAGUGUGUCAUGAUGGUACAAUGUGGAAGCACGUUUACUGUAGCUGGAACCAUUGAUAACACUGUCUACUUCUGGGGAGGACGCCAUGUUUUUUCGUAUCCCACCGUAGGAAUGGAACUUGACAGACAUUACCAACAAGAUCCACUUAUAGACAGCUUGCAUACAUUCCACCACAAAGAAAAGAACAGAAUACCUGUCAUCAUUGACAAUGAUGCUUCAGAACCAAAUGAAACUUUUGCCUCAGAAAUGAAUAAAAUUGGGCAACCCCAGAGUCCUAAAGAAAUUACUUCAGAUAAAAAGGACAUAAUUCUACAGCCUCAAGAGAUCUUAGCGCUCUAUGCUUCAGAAGCUCAGGUAGCAAGAGGAGAGAUCAUUAGCCUGUCAGAUUUGUAUUGCUCAGGAACUCAGCUUUUCUUAGCUGUGGACACUACUGUCCCCUUGCCUCGAGGUAACAAAAAGAGAGGAAAAGGAAAAAAAGGACAAGAAAGUGAAACCAAUUAUUUGAAGAAAAUUAAUAGUUAUGAAGAUGGUGUUACUCUUAAUUCUCAUGUGAACUAUAAUGCAGUGAUGUCAGUUACCUCAGAUAGUCUAGGACCUACACCUGCAUGGUUGAAAGAAGAGUUGGCAGGUCCAGUCAUACCAGGUAUGACUGGUUCUUCAGUUGCUGAACAAAAACAUAGAGAGUCUAGUGAGACCAAAGAAAAGCCAUUUCCUCUGAUUCAGCCAGUUGAUGUUAAUGUUCAUAGAAACAGCACAGGUGCAGCUGCCAAAAAUAAUGAUAUAAGUAAGUUAUCGUCUAGUCGAGCAGAGUCUAGCAGACAUUCACGUGAAGUGAUCCUAAAGUAUGAAAUACAGAGAUUAGCUCUUGAGAAAAAAAAAACUGAGGAAAUAGUGCAAGAACUAGAAAAUUCUCUCUCCUAUCAAGUGAUACACAAAGCUAAUUUUCCAACACAGGUCAGUUUAGGUACAAGAAGAAUCACUGGAAAAAGAAAUAACUAGAAUCCAAAAGGAGUUAGAACACCAGAAGCAGGUUUUCAAGGACUAUCAAGAUCGUAUAAAUAAGCUUGAGGAUCAGUCGAAGAUUCUUGAAUAUCAACAGAACUCCCCUGUGAAGAAAAGUUGGUCGAUCCCAGGAAUCAAAUCUAGUAACAUAUGUUGUAUACAGUAGUGUUUGUUCAUGGGUUGUGUUAAGAUUAAUCCUAUUUCUAAAAGAUCAUUUCUUGAACAUCAACAGAACUCACCUGUAAAUAAGAGUUGAUUAAUCCAAGCUAUCAAAUGUAGUAACAUAUGAUAUUUACAGUAGUGUUUAGUCAUGGGUCAUGGCAACAUUGUUUUUCAUCCAACAGUACAUAACUUUUUGGCUUUAGUAUUUUAUAUCUAAAUAUAUUUUGAAAAAUACUAAACUCCAAUAUGUAUUAUGGUAAUCAGUAUAAUUUAAUAACCAAGAUGUUUACAGCCAGAGUGAGUACUCAGUUCAUUAUAUAGAUGAUUAUAUAGAUUAACAUAAACGUUCAGAGUUCUGUCAGCCUGUGGUUUAUCUGGUAAAGGAUCUGCUUGGUGUGAUAGGUUAGUCUCACACUAUUAUACAUUUUACUAGUUUAUAAAGAAAUUCUGUGAUUUAAACCCUUUAUAUGGUUAAAAGUUUGUCACAUUUAUGGCACUUUUUUUAAUGUGUGGAAGUAAUUUAAAUGUACAAGUUACUUCAAUGAGAAACUUAAUACAGCCAUAGUUGAAUAUUGAUCUAGUUACCUUAAUAAAGGGGUCUUGUGUUUACCUAGUCAAUAAAUCUUAAAAUGUAGGAU